AUUGAACGCUGGCGGCAGGCCUAACACAUGCAAGUAGCGCGAGCGGCGGACGGGUGAGUAAUGUAUGGGGACUGCCCGAUAGAGGGGGAUAACUACUGGAAACGGUGGCUAAUACCGCAUACUAUCGGAUAACCCAUAUGGGAUUAGCUAUUAGGUGGGGUAAAGGCUCACCUAGGCGACGAGCUCUAGCUGGUCUGAGAUGAUGAGCAGCCACACUGGAACUGAGACACGCCCCAGACUCCUACGGAGGCAGCAGUGGGGAAUAUUGCACUAUGGGCGCAAGCCUGAUGCAGCCAUGCCGCGUGUAUGAAGAAGGCCUUCGGGUUUUAAAGUCCUUUCAGUCGGGAGGCGUUACCGACAGAAGAAGCACCGGCUAACUCCGUGCCAGCCGCCGCGGUAAUUC
rnacentral:rRNA from 1 species